GAGAAAUCCAAGCACAUAGCAUUGUGUUACUGUUGAGAAUCUUUCAAAGGAAGAGUCAGUCAAAGGAAGGUGUGAUUUGGAAAUCCCCGAAAUGGGCAAGAACAGGACGGCAGUUUGAUGUGAAUGCAUGGGAAGAAACAAAUCACAAAGCAGUUGAAGUCAUGGUUCAGCCAUGAAAAGCUACAGAUUCCACGUGGAAUAUUGCGAGCAGUUCCAGACAUGACAGCUUAGGAAGGACAUCUGAUCCUAUGUGGGAGCAUCGUGGCGAUCCUUGUCCUUUGUGGCAAUAAAGCAUCCAGUUUGUCAAGAACAUGUCAAAGCAG